UACGAAGGGGGCUAGCGUUGCUCGGAAUCACUGGGCGUAAAGCGCACGUAGGCGGUUUCUUAAGUCAGGGGUGAAAUCCUGGAGCUCAACUCCAGAACUGCCUUUGAUACUGGGAGACUUGAGUCCGGGAGAGGUGAGUGGAACUGCGAGUGUAGAGGUGAAAUUCGUAGAUAUUCGCAAGAACACCAGUGGCGAAGGCGGCUCACUGGCCCGGUACUGACGCUGAGGUGCGAAAGCGGGGGGAGCAAACAGG
rnacentral:rRNA from 1 species